rnacentral:rRNA from 2 species
AUAUUGGUCAAUGGCCUAACGGUUGAACCAGCAACUUGGAGGAAAGUAUAGCGAAAGCUAAUUGUAAAUAUUACAAGCUCGAUUUACUCGGAUAAAAUUCUAGAUAGGAUUAUGAUAAUGACAUUGCCUAUCUAUAUGACUUGACCAAAUUACGUGCCAGCAGUCGCGGUAAUACGUAAAAGUCUAGUGUUAUUCAUCUUUAAUAGGUUUAAAGCGUACCUAGACGGUUAAUCAAGCCUAAAUAAGGUACUAAUUAAACUAGAGUUUUAUGUAAGGGUGCAUUAAGGUACUGUUGAGGUGUAGAGAUGAAAUUCUGUCAUACCAGAUUAUUGGCACGGGUUUAGGCGAAAGCAUCACCUUAUGUAAUAACUGACGUUGACGGACGAAGGCUUUGUGUCGCGAACAGGAUUAGAUACCCCAGUAGUCUAAGCAGAAAAUGAUGAGUGUCAUAGGUUGAAUAUUAUUUGGUCUAUAAAUGAAAGUGUAAGCACUCCACCUCAAGAGUAAUUUGGCAACAUUGGAACUGAAAUCAUUAGACCGUGUUUGAAACCAGUAGUGAAGUAUGUUGUUUAAUUAGAUGCCACGCAAAAAACCUUACCACAAUUUGAAUAUUAAAGAAAACUUUUUUACAAGCGCUGCACGGCUGUUUUUUAGUUAAUGUCGUGAGAUUUUGGUUAGUUCCAUUAAAUUAACGUAAACCCUUACUUUAUUUUAUAUAAAGUAGUUCACCGCUAGAUUGGUUAAGAUAACAGGGAUUAAGACAAGUCAUCAUGGCCUUAAUAUUGUGGGCUAUAGA